AUACUUCUUUUGAGCUCUGAUUUUGAAGAUGUCGACAAGCAGGAAGCAAUGUUCUAUCGCGGUGUUGCUGCUGCUAGUGCUCGUCCAACUCAUCGGUGCUCUCGCUCGACCUCCAUGCGAUUAUCUUCGUCCAGGAACCUGUCACUAUAACAAACCAUGAGGUGAAGCUGGAAAAUUGUGUGGAUGCUGCUUCGUUGGGUUAUAUUGCCUUAUUGGAUUAUUCGGUUUCUUUAUAGAAAUAUCCGUACUGUUCAGUUUGUUGGCAAUCUAAAAUAUGUAAAGUUUAAAAUCUCUCUAGGGUGCAUUUUGACGGAAUUCUGAAUCCAUUGUUAAUUUUGGUGACCAGUAUUUCCUGGUACAAACGUUUACGUCUAUGGGACACAAAUGCAUGUGCGACACAUUGAUUUACCUUGGGAAAAUUAUAUACUUCACAUGAUUUAAACUUU